AACAGCAUGAGCCCUUACAAAAAUGAAUCAUUUCUUCUUUUAGUAGUAUAACGUUAGUUUCAUGGCGUAUUGAUUGCCAUAUUGCUUUAACCAUGCUUUCUGUAACAGACAAUGUUUUUUGGUUUAAAGUGUAGUAAAAACCGUUUUUUAACUUUUGUUAGGGAUGCAACCGGCUGCUUUUUGCUCCAAAUAUUUUAUUUUGGCGGUGUUAUAGACACAGAGCUGUAAUAUAAAUGUGAUUCUGAAUGUAAAUGUCUUAAGAAAUGACUCGAUGGCAUUUUAUUGUCGUCUUACUUCAGUAUAAUCCCUGAUUAAGCGCUGCACGUCUACUACUGUAUACUGUAACCCUGGUAACGGUUGAAUUUGCAAUUCAGCGCCAUCUACUGUCAAAGUAGAGUAUUUAUUCAGCGUGCCAGAUGUGUUUGCUUUGAGAUUUAAUUAAUUAUUAUUUUCUUUAAAUGUAGACAUUCUUGGAGAUGUUGCAUUAAAAACCUUACAAAAUGGCCAGCAAGAUGAUUCAGCCUUCCUACAGUACCAAGAGGCAAAGCAAACAUUUAUUAAUUUGCAACCUGCCAGAAAACAAACAUAAUUCAGUAUUUGGAGGAGGAAGUGUGACGAAGACCCCAUGUCCUCCUAUGGGAUGAAUUCGACUAAUCACAAGCCUUUGUUAUCGUGGGGAGGCAUGCAUGGCCCAGGAGCAAGACCAGCAGUUGACAUGUGCUUUAAUUUUUUUUUUUUUUACAUUUUAUACAGAGUAUCCCAAGCCUUUCACUACUGUUAAGUAGUUUCUGUAACACACAAUACAUUUUGUAUCAUGUGAUGUUUCCUGAACACACUGUCACCUGCUUAAAGGGACAGUUCCCCCAAAAAUGAAAAUUGUCAUAAUUUUCUUCCACUCCUGUCGUUACAAACCUGUACACAUUUUUUUGUUCUGAUGACCACAAAGGAAGAUAUUUUGAGUAAUGUUUAAACCAAACAGAUCAUGAGCCCCAUUGACUGUCAUAGUAGGAAAAAAGAAUACUAUGAAAAUGAAUGGGGCUCAUGAUCGGUUUGAUUUCAAACAUUCUUUGAAAUAUGUGGUUAUCAAAGUAAAGACUUAUAUACAGGUUUAUAACAACAUGAGAGGGAGAAAAUUAUGACAAAAUGUGUGAACUAUGCUUUUAAGCAGUUUGUAGUUGGAUAAGAUUGAGUAGAUUUGUUUUGUUCUUAUGUUUUUGUUUAUUUAUGUAUGUAUAUAUUUAUGUAUGUGUGUAUGUAUUUAUGCUUCUAUACAUGUCUGUAUUUAUACAUUUAAAUGCAGGUGCAAAUGACUAAAUGAAAAUAAAGCAUUAUAAAUGUA